UUAGCUCAGAUGGUCAGAGCGUGGUGCUAAUAACACCAAGGUCAUGGGUUCAAUCCCCAUACCGGCUAUUUGAAGC
ensembl:miRNA